AAAGAAUUAGUUAAAAUAAUAACAUAAAUUUGUCAAAUUUAAAUUGUACAUAAAUAUAUUCUUUU
rnacentral:tRNA from 1 species